AACGAACGCUGGCGGCAUGCCUAACACAUGCAAGUCGAACGAGACCUUCGGGUCUAGUGGCGCACGGGUGCGUAACGCGUGGGAACCUGCCCUUAGGUUCGGAAUAACUCCCCGAAAGGGGUGCUAAUACCGGAUAAUGUCUUCGGACCAACGAUUUAUCGCCUUUGGAUGGGCCCGCGUUGGAUUAGCUAGUUGGUAGGGUAAAAGCCUACCAAGGCGACGAUCCAUAGCUGGUCUGAGAGGAUGAUCAGCCACACUGGGAAUGAGACACGGCCCAGACUCCUACGGGAGGAAGCAGUGGGGAAUAUUGGACAAUGGGCGAAAGCCUGAUCCAGCAAUGCCGCGUGAGUGAUGAAGGCCUUAGGGUUGUAAAGCUCUUUUACCCGGGAUGAUAAUGACAGUACCGGGAGAAUAAGCGCCGGCUAACUCCGUG
rnacentral:rRNA from 1 species